UACGAAGGGGGCUAGCGUUGCUCGGAAUUACUGGGCGUAAAGCGCACGUAGGCGGCUUUCUAAGUCGGGGGUGAAAUCCUGGAGCUCAACUCCAGAACUGCCUUUGAUACUGAGGAUCUUGAGUUCGGGAGAGGUGAGUGGAACUGCGAGUGUAGAGGUGAAAUUCGUAGAUAUUCGCAAGAACACCAGUGGCGAAGGCGGCUCACUGGCCCGAUACUGACGCUGAGACGCGAAAGCGUGGGGAGCGAACAGG
rnacentral:rRNA from 1 species